ACACCGAUGGUGAAGCGGUUAUCAUGCUUGCCUUCCAUCCGUUCAACCAAUCACGAUUGCAGCAAGCGGCAGGGGUUCGACUCCCCUUCGGUGUA